GGUGGUUUCGAUGAGGAUAUUAAGCUCCCUCUUCUGAUUAAGGUUGAGGAAACUCGCUGGCAGAAUCGAACCAAUAAUUAUACUUGCCACCACUGAGUAA